rnacentral:sRNA from 1 species
UAAAUACAGAGACAAAGGAAAAAAAAAUC